AAACCUUUACACUGCACGCCAGUGCGAUAAGGGGACUCCAAGUGCGAGGGCAUAUCGUCCUCGCUAUCCUGUACUGUAGGGUAGUACAGUAUCAAGAGCUGGGCAAGACCGGUGCCAGCCGCCGCGGUAAUACCGGCAGCUCGAGUGAUGGCCAAUCUUAUUGGGCCUAAAGCGUCCGUAGCUGGCCGCGCAAGUCCGUCGGGAAAUCCAUCAGCCCAACUGAUGGGCGUCCGGCGGAAACUGCACGGCUUGGGACCGGAAGGCUCGAGAGGUACGUCCGGGGUAGGAGUGAAAUCCCGUAAUCCCGAACGGACCACCGAUGGCGAAAGCAUCUCGAGAAAACGGAUCCGACAGUGAGGGACGAAAGCUAGGGUCUCGAACCGGAUUAGAUACCCGGGUAGUCCUAGCCGUAAACGAUGUUCGCUAGGUGUGGCACUGGCUACGAGCCAGUGCUGCGCCGUAGGAAGCCGAGAAGCGAACCGCCUGGAA
rnacentral:rRNA from 1 species